GAUGAACGCUGGCGGCGUGCCUAAUACAUGCAAGUAGAGCGCACAGACGAGAAGCUUGCUUUUCUGACGUUAGAGGCGGACGGGUGAGUAACACGUGGAUAAGCAACUUAUCUGACUGGGAUAACUUCGGGAAACCGGAGAUAAUACCGGAUAAUAUUUUGAACCGCAUGGUUCAAAAGUGAUAGACGGAAUUGCUGUCACUUAUAGAUGGAUCCGCGCUGCAUUUGCUAGUUGGUAAGGUAACGGCUUACCAAGGCAACGAUGCAUAGCCGACCUGAGAGGGUGUUCGGCAACAUUGGAACGGAGACACGGUCCAGACUCCUACGGGAGGAAGCAUUAGGGAAUCUUCGGCAAUGGGCGAAAGCCUGACGGAGCAAGGCCGCGUGAGUGAUGAAGGUCUUCGGAUCGUAAAACUCUGUUAUUGGGGAAGAACGUAGGUGGAAUGAACUGUUCACAUCUUGACGGUACCUAAUCAGAAAGCCACGGCUAACUACGUG
rnacentral:rRNA from 1 species